CGUAAUGAGCUUGCGAAAGGAAUUCAGCCUUUGGUUCCUUCUCGGCAACUUCUCUGAUCGAGUUUGAGCUGCGACCGGAGCAGCGUCAGUUCCCCUUUCUGCGCUCACUGGUUUCUCGAAUCUAAUAACAACACAAUAAUAUCUGGAAUAAUCUGUGUCUAAGUGGUUGGAUGAUGGAUUUACGGAUUUUUCUCCCUGCUCUUCUACUUGUCUUCGGAUUGGCGACAGUUUGGGCCCAGUCUUCCGCACCUGGCGAUGUGUGUGAGACAAAGAAUGGGACAAGCUGUGAAGAUUGUCUGAAAAACGUGUCGUGCUUGUGGUGUAUCCAAACCAAGUCCUGUAUUACAUCCAGU